AUGUACAAUCACAUCAGGACAACUGGUCAGAAUGUGCUGCAGAGCAGCAUUUUUGGUCUCCUUCACUUAGCAGAAAGAGGAAUCGUUUCUGGGAAGUCUUUAAGGUUUGGCUUAUCCUGGAGAUCUGAAGUGGAAAUCAUAGCGGUCUCUUCUGGGUUUGUAAUGGAUUCGUCCAAGGAGCCCCAGCACCAGAGGCUGUUCCACAAAUCCAGGCUGAUCCAGAAGCGCGUUAGGAGAUUGAAUCAUUUCUUACCAGCUUGGGUGAAGGUUUCUGAAAGAAACGAUGAACCGAGGACUGAGUUUUCUGCAAGCCUUGUUAUUUCUUAAAGCGUUCUAGAUCCAGAUUAAUUCACUUAGCUUCGUAUUGAUGCCUUCACCUGCUUGGAAAUGAGAAGUGCAAACACAGCUGCGCGCUGGUGGCUGCCUCUCCUGGGAGCCCUGGAGAAGUGAUCCCCAAUGGUUUGGGAAGCCGCUUAACUCAGUUUGGAGAGUUACGGAGGUAAAUUGACACAAAUCCCACCAGUGUAGACGUUUCCAAAUCAAGUUACAUGUUUUAAAUCACUUGGGGCUUUAACCUUUCGCGGUCCAGCUGGUUGCAGCAGCGUGCUGGGGCAGCAGGACUCCUGCAGCACAUCCGGCUGCACAGCUAAGCUGGAUUAUAUAUUUAUUAUACGUGGAGUUUAUAUGUUUAUUAUACAUGGAGAUUUUUCCUUUAUUGUGUAAAUAGAUUUGUCCCCUGUCCACUCACAAUGCUAUCUGGUGAUAGGGAUGCUCCCCACCAGCCAAGGGGACACCUGAACCCAGGCACACUGCUCAGAAGGUAAAGCCAGGAGGGAUGAAGCCCUGCUGAGAUGUGUGCUGUGUGCCACCCCUACAUGGCUGUUAAUUUAGGUCUUGAUUUGGAUCUGCAAGUCCCACUGUGUUUUCAGACUCCUGAAUAUGUUGAAGGAUUCAUGGAGACACUUGGAAACAGUAGGGAGAAAACCAGGAGUGUGUGAGUGAAUGGGAUUAACAGGUCAUGGUUGUUCACAGAUCCUUCUCUUAAAUAUAAUUAGUUCAUUACAAUACAUCCAUGGUGCAGGACUUCUAUAAACAAGUAUUAAAGCCUGUCUACUCAGACUCUUUAAAGUCCAGAUCUUGGAGAGGAAAAACGAUUUGGGACGGAGAAAAAUAGCAAUUAGAGCUAAAUGGCAAAACGGGGAGUUAAUUUGUAGUGAGAAAAAACUCCUUUUAGUUUUUUUCUAUUAACUUUUGUAAGAAAACACUUUUCCAUACUUGUCAGGCUUGACAGUUAAAGUUAAUGGUGUUAAAAAACAGAGUACCGAAA
rnacentral:lncRNA from 1 species